GGAAAAAGCGGAGCCGUAGCGAAAGCGAGUCUGAAUAGGGCGCAUAAGUAACAGGUCGUAGACCCGAAACCAGGUGAUCUACCCAUGUCCAGGAUGAAGGUAAGGUAAUACUUACUGGAGGUCCGAACCCACGCACGUUGAAAAGUGCGGGGAUGAGGUGUGGGUAGCGGAGAAAUUCCAAUCGAACUUGGAGAUAGCUGGUUCUCUCCGAAAUAGCUUUAGGGCUAGCCUCGAGGUAAAGAGUCAUGGAGGUAGAGCACUGUUUGGACUAGGGGCCCUUCUCGGGUUACCGAAUUCAGAUAAACUCCGAAUGCCAUGUACUUAUACUCGGGAGUCAGACUGCGAGUGAUAAGAUCCGUAGUCGAAAGGGAAACAGCCCAGACCACCAGUUAAGGUCCCCAAAUAUAUGUUAAGUGGAAAAGGAUGUGGGGUUGCUUAGACAACCAGGAUGUUGGCUUAGAAGCAGCCACCAUUGAAAGAGUGCGUAAUAGCUCACUGGUCGAGUGACCCCGCGCCGAAAAUGUACCGGGGCUAAACAUAUUACCGAAACUGUGGAUGAACCUCUUUAGAGGUUCGUGGUAGGAGAGCGUUCUAAGGGCGGUGAAGUCAGACCGGAAGGACUGGUGGAGCGCUUAGAAGUGAGAAUGCCGGUAUGAGUAGCGAAAGAAGGGUGAGAAUCCCUUCCACCGAAUAUCUAAGGUUUCCUGAGGAAGGCUCGUCCGCUCAGGGUUAGUCGGGACCUAAGCCGAGGCCGAUAGGCGUAGGCGAUGGACAACAGGUAGAGAUUCCUGUACCAGUGCUAAUUGUUUAACCGAUGGGGUGACACAGAAGGAUAGGGAAUCGCACGAAUGGAAAUGUGCGUCCAAGCAGUGAGUGUGAGAAGUAGGCAAAUCCGCUUCUCGCGAAGCAUGAGCUGUGAUGGGGAAGGAAAUUAAGUACGGAAGUUCCUGAUUUCACGCUGUCAAGAAAAGCCUCUAGGAAGAGUAGUACUGCCCGUACCGCAAACCGACACAGGUAGAUGAGGAGAGAAUCCUAAGGUGAGCGAGAGAACUCUCGUUAAGGAACUCGGCAAAAUGACCCCGUAACUUCGGGAGAAGGGGUGCUCUAUUAGGGUGCAAGCCCGAGAGAGCCGCAGUGAAUAGGCCCAGGCGACUGUUUAGCAAAAACACAGGUCUCUGCAAAACCGUAAGGUGACGUAUAGGGGCUGACGCCUGCCCGGUGCUGGAAGGUUAAGAGGAGUGCUUAGCUUCGGCGAAGGUACGAAUUGAAGCCCCAGUAAACGGCGGCCGUAACUAUAACGGUCCUAAGGUAGCGAAAUUCCUUGUCGGGUAAGUUCCGACCCGCACGAAAGGCGCAACGAUCUGGGCACUGUCUCAACGAGAGACUCGGUGAAAUUAUAGUACCUGUGAAGAUGCAGGUUACCCGCGACAGGACGGAAAGACCCCGUGGAGCUUUACUGCAACCUGAUAUGGAAUGUUUGUACCGCUUGUACAGGAUAGGUAGGAGCCGAAGAGACGUGUGCGCUAGCAUACGAGGAGGCAAUGGUGGGAUACUACCCUGGCUGUAUGACCAUUCUAACCCGCCACGCUUAGCGCGUGGGGAGACAGUGUCAGGUGGGCAGUUUGACUGGGGCGGUCGCCUCCUAAAGAGUAACGGAGGCGCCCAAAGGUUCCCUCAGAAUGGAUGGAAAUCAUUCGCAGAGUGUAAAGGCACAAGGGAGCUUGACUGCGAGACUGACAAGUCGAGCAGGGACGAAAGUCGGGCUUAGUGAUCCGGUGGUUCCGCAUGGAAGGGCCAUCGCUCAACGGAUAAAAGCUACCCCGGGGAUAACAGGCUUAUCUCCCCCAAGAGUCCACAUCGACGGGGAGGUUUGGCACCUCGAUGUCGGCUCGUCGCAUCCUGGGGCUGUAGUCGGUCCCAAGGGUUGGGCUGUUCGCCCAUUAAAGCGGCACGCGAGCUGGGUUCAGAACGUCGUGAGACAGUUCGGUCCCUAUCCGUCGCGGGCGCAGGAAAUUUGAGAGGAGCUGUCCUUAGUACGAGAGGACCGGGAUGGACACACCGCUGGUGUACCAGUUGUUCCGCCAGGAGCAUCGCUGGGUAGCUAUGUGUGGCAGGGAUAAACGCUGAAAGCAUCUAAGCGUGAAGCCCCCCUCAAGAUGAGAUUUCCCAUUUCUUCGGAAAGUAAGAUCCCUGAAAGAUGAUCAGGUAGAUAGGUUUGGAGUGGAAGUGUAGCGAUACAUGGAGCGGACAAAUACUAAUCGAUCGAGGACUUAACCAAAA
rnacentral:rRNA from 1 species